AUGCACGCCCAAGGAGCGCCGUUCCUGCUCCCUCAUUGUCUGUCACCGGUCAGCUGGAAACUGCCCGCUUCAGAGACAGUGCCUCUUGUCUGCUUCAGCUUCGCUGCUGCACAGAAACUGAGCAUCCACGGGGCCGGGCUGGGGGGGGAAGGGGGAAAAAAAAAAAAAACAAACAAACAACCCAAAAGUUGCUGCUAUCAAAGCCGACGCUCGUGCCAAGAGCAAACUCCGUGCCUGUGCCGGGGACACAGCCGCGGGCAGCUCGGGACCUGGUCCCCGGGUCCGCCCUGCCCCGCUCCGGCCGGUGCCCGGCGAAGGGGCAGCGGGGGCGGCCCCGUCCCGGGCUCCCCGUCCCGGAGCACCGCGGGGGUGAGGGCGGCCGAGGGGCGCGGCGCGGGGCUGGGCCCCCGGCCCCGAGCCCAACAUGGAGGCGCCGCUCCGGAGGCAGCCCCGCGGCAGCACCAGCACCCGCCCGCGGCCGGAGACGGCUCUGUCGCGCCCGCCCCGCCGGCCGCUCCUCACGCCCGCCCCAGCACGGCAGCACCGAGCCCAGCCGAGCCGAGCCGGGCCGGGCCGGGCCGGGCCGGGCGUCUUUCUCCCCACCGUGCGCCCCACGGAAGCCGGAGCCCGCGUCGCUUCCUCAUUCACCCCGGGCCGGGCGGGGCAGGAACCGCCGAGCAGCGGGAGCCCCCCCCCCGCGGGGGCAGGUACCGGCACUCACCCGUCUGCCCGGAGCCGAGUAUCGGAAGCCGUCCCGGGAGCGAGCGAGCGAGAGAUGAAGACGGGCGGGCAGCGACCGCCGGCUCCCCGCNNNNNNNNNNNNNNNNNNNNNNNNNGGCGGUGGCGGUGCCUGGCUCUGUCCCCGUCCCUAGCCCCGGCCCCGGUCCCGGCCCCCUCCGUCCCGUCGCACCGGGGAUGCCCCAGCCCUCGCGGUCUCCUCCAGCACAGCGCCCCUUGGCCAAAGGCCCUGGUGUCGUGCCGGUGCCGCGGGCACUGGGACACGGCUGA
rnacentral:lncRNA from 1 species